CCUACGGUAGGCAGCAGUGAGGAAUAUUGGUCAAUGGGCGGAAGCCUGAACCAGCCAAGUAGCGUGCGGGAUGAAGGCCCUACGGGUCGUAAACCGCUUUUGCACGGGGAUAACACCCUCCACUUGUGGAGGUCUGCAGGUACCGUGCGAAUAAGGGCCGGCUAAUUCCGUGCCAGCAGCCGCGGUACUACGGAAGGCCCGAGCGUUAUCCGGAUUCAUUGGGCUUAAAGGGAGUGUAGGCGGGCGUUCAAGUCAGCUGUAAAAUCGCGCGGCUCAACCGCGCCCCGCAGUUGAAACUGGACGCCUUGAGUUCACAACAGGCAGGCGGAAUUCGUGGUGUAGCGGUGAAAUGCAGAGAUAUCACGAGGAACCCCGAUUGCGAAGGCAGCCUGCCGGGGUGCGACUGACGCUGAGGCUCGAAGGUGCGGGUAUCAAACAGGAUUAGAUACCCCGGUAGUC
rnacentral:rRNA from 1 species